rnacentral:tRNA from 1 species
GGGCCCGUAGUCUAGUUGGUAGGACGUCGCCCUCACGCGGCGAAGGUCGCCGGUUCAAGUCCGGCCGGGCCCACCA